CUCCGGGAUUUUCUCAAUGUGUUUGUGUUAGUAUAUAUUGAUGAUAUCUUAAUCUUCUCAAAGUCUGAACAGGAACAUGUGCAGCAUGUCCGUAGUGUUCUCCAGAGACUCCUUGAGAACCAACUGUUUGUGAAGGUGGAGAAGUCUGAGUUCCAUGCCACUGAGGUGCCGUUCCUGGGAUACAUCAUUUCAGUCGGACGUAUUCACAUGGAUCCCGCCAAGGUUAAAGCAGUGGCGGAUUGGCCGGUUCCAACCUCUCUGAAGAAGCUUCAACAGUUCCUGGGGUUUGCCAAUUUCUACCGUAGGUUUAUCCGCAACUAUAGUUCUGUGGCAGCUCCCCUGACAGCCCUCACCUCCCAGAAGGUAGCCUUCCAAUGGUCCCCUGCUGCAGAAGAAAGGUUCAGUGAGUUAAAGUCACGGUUCUCUUCUGCUCCCAUUCUCAUCCUUCCGGAUCUAGACUGCCAGUUUGUUGUGGAAGUGGAUGCGUCAGACUCCGGGGUGGGGGCAGUCCUGUCUCAGCAGUCAGCAGAGGACCAAAAGUUACAUCCGUGUGCCUUUUUCUCCCGCAAAUUGUCCCCAGCAGAAAGAAAUUACGACGUCGGAAACCGGGAGUUAUUGGCUGUCAAGCUGGCUCUCGAGGAGUGGAGGCUCUGGUUGGAGGGGGCAAAACAUCCGUUUGUUGUAUGGACAGACCACAAGAACCUCGAGUACAUCCGGUCGGCCAAACGGUUGCUCCCGUCAGGCCAGAUGGGCGUUGUUCUUUAAUCGCUUUGACUUCACCCUGUCUUAUCGCCCAGGUACAAGGAAUGUCAAGCCAGACUCCCUGUCCCGUCAGUUCCAGUCCGACAACAGUCCCACACAACAUGAGAGGAUCCUCCCCACUAAGCUCGUCAUCGGCACAGUUACCUGGGACAUUGUGGACAAGGUAAAACGGUCUCAGGCCGACCAACCGAUCCCCAGUGCUUGCCCUUAUAAUCGCCUGUAUGUGCCUGUGAGUCUCCGCUCUCAGGUCCUCCAGUGGGGACACUCUUCUCGCCUUGCCUGUCACCCGGGGGUUAGGCGCACCCUAGCUCUGCUGAAGCAACGUUUCUGGUGGACUUCCAUCGAAGAGGACACCAAGGAGUUUAUCGCUGCUUGCCAGAUUUGCUCUCAGCACAAGACUGCUCGCCAUGCCCCUUCUGGUCUUCUUCAGCCACUGCCUAUUCCUCAUCGUCCAUGGUCUCACAUUUCACUCGACUUCGUCACCGGACUGCCUCCUUCAGAGGGUAAUACCACCAUUCUGACGAUUGUGGACAGAUUUUCUAAAUCUGCUCAGUUUGUUCCAUUGCCCAAAUUACCAUCUGCCAAAGAAACUGCUGAACUUAUGUUGCAUCAUGUUUUCCGUCUGCACGGCCUCCCCUGUGACAUUGUCUCAGAUCGGGGGCCACAGUUCACUUCUCGUUUUUGGACAGACUUUUGCCAACUGUUGGGGGCCACGGUCAGCCUUUCCUCU
rnacentral:lncRNA from 1 species